rnacentral:rRNA from 1 species
CACGCAAGUCGAGGGGUAUGGUUCUUCGGAACCAGAGACCGGCGCACGGGUGCGUAACGCGUAUGCAAUCUGCCUUUCACAGAGGGAUAGCCCAGAGAAAUUUGGAUUAAUACCUCAUAGUAUAGCGACAUCGCAUGAUGAUGCUAUUAAAGUCACAACGGUGAAAGAUGAGCAUGCGUCCCAUUAGCUAGUUGGUAAGGUAACGGCUUACCAAGGCAACGAUGGGUAGGGGUCCUGAGAGGGAGAUCCCCCACACUGGUACUGAGACACGGACCAGACUCCUACGGGAGGCAGCAGUGAGGAAUAUUGGUCAAUGGGCGCAAGCCUGAACCAGCCAUGCCGCGUGCAGGAUGACGGUCCUAUGGAUUGUAAACUGCUUUUGCACAGGAAGAAACACUGAUUCGUGAAUCAGCUUGACGGUACUGUGAGAAUAAGGAUCGGCUAACUCCGUGCCAGCAGCCGCGGUAAUACGGAGGAUCCAAGCGUUAUCCGGAAUCAUUGGGUUUAAAGGGUCCGUAGGCGGUCUGGUAAGUCAGUGGUGAAAGCCCAUCGCUCAACGGUGGAACGGCCAUUGAUACUGCUGGACUUGAAUUAUUAGGAAGUAACUAGAAUAUGUAGUGUAGCGGUGAAAUGCUUAGAGAUUACAUGGAAUACCAAUUGCGAAGGCAGGUUACUACUAAUGGAUUGACGCUGAUGGACGAAAGCGUGGGUAGCGAACAGGAUUAGAUACCCUGGUAGUCCACGCCGUAAACGAUGGAUACUAGCUGUUGGAAGCAAUUUCAGUGGCUAAGCGAAAGUGAUAAGUAUCCCACCU